AGGUUCUCCCCUGCUUGCAAACUACUCCGCGGUCCCUCACCAGCCACGCAGGUGAGUCAAGGAUGCUCUCAGCCAAGAUCACGGCUGGCACGAGCAGGAACAUCUGCUGCCUCUGCGCUUCUCGGAGCCAGAAAUAGAAAGAACGAGCUGCUCUGCAAAUGCCAAGCGCCGAUGCCAAAGGGCCGUGUCAACAAAGAAGAAUGAGUGUGGCUGUUAGAGGCUGCUAUUAAAAAAGGGUGGAGAGGAGAGAGGAGGGAGGGGGAAAG